GGAGGGUUGUCCGAGCGGCCUAUGGUGACGGUCUUGAAAACCGUUGUCCGCGCAAGCGGACCGUGGGUUCGAAUCCCACACCCUCCG
rnacentral:tRNA from 1 species